rnacentral:rRNA from 1 species
AAAGGAAUAGACGGGGACCCGCACAAGCAGUGGAGCAUGUGGUUUAAUUCGAUGCAACGCGAAGAACCUUACCCGGUCUUGACAUGCAGAGGACAGCUGCAGAAAUGUAGUGUUCUUUAUAGACCUCUGCACAGGUGCUGCAUGGCUGUCGUCAGCUCGUGCCGUGAGGUGUUGGGUUAAGUCCCGCAACGAGCGCAACCCUUAUCGUCAGUUGCCAACAGGUAAUGCUGGGGACUCUGGCGAGACUGCCCGGGUUAACCGGGAGGAAGGUGAGGAUGACGUCAAGUCAGCAUGGCCCUUACGACCGGGGCUACACACGUGCUACAAUGGUCGGUACAGAGGGUGGCGAAGCCGCGAGGUGGAGCAAAUCUCAUAAAGCCGGCCCCAGUUCGGAUUGUAGUCUGCAACUCGACUACAUGAAGUUGGAAUUGCUAGUAAUGGCGUGUCAGCAAUAACGCCGUGAAUACGUUCCCGGGUCUUGUACACACCGCCCGU